CUUGACCUCAAAUCGGGUGAGACUACCCCGCUUGACUUAAGCAUAUC
rnacentral:rRNA from 1 species